rnacentral:rRNA from 1 species
CUACGGGAGGCUCCAGUCGAGAAUCUUCCGCAAUGGGCGAAAGCCUGACGGAGCAAUGCCGCGUGCAGGAUGAAGGCCUUUGGGUUGUAAACUGCUGUCACUGGGGAUGAAAUCUGACAGUACCCGGAGAGGAAGCCACGGCUAACUACGUGCCAGCAGCCGCGGUAAUACGUAGGUGGCGAGCGUUGUUCGGAUUUAUUGGGCGUAAAGGGUUCGUAGGGGGUUUGUUAAGUCUGAUGUGAAAUCCAGCGGCUCAACCGCUGAACUGCAUUGGAAACUGAUGAACUAGAGGACCGGAGAGGAGAGUGGAAUUCCAGGAGUAGCGGUGGAAUGCGUAGAUAUCUGGAAGAACACCAACAGCGAAGGCAGCUCUCUGGACGGUUCCUGACCCUGAGGGACGAAAGCGUGGGUAGCAAACAGGAUUAGAUACCCCCGUAGUC